ensembl:snoRNA
AAACAACAUUUUGGCAGAACAUCGAAGUUGUUUGACACAAUUUGAGCGUGAUAUGGCAAGAAGCUCUCACCUAUUCCAGCGCUCUCCUCCAUGAGACCAACUGUUAUAUAGACUUAAACAGU